UACGUAGGGGGCAAGCGUUGUUCGGAAUUACUGGGCGUAAAGGGCGCGUAGGCGGCCUUCUAAGUCGAACGUGAAAUCCCCGGGCUCAACCCGGGAACUGCGUCCGAUACUGGAAGGCUUGAAUCCGGGAGAGGGAUGCGGAAUUCCAGGUGUAGCGGUGAAAUGCGUAGAUAUCUGGAGGAACACCGGUGGCGAAGGCGGCUACCUGGCCUGUUCUUGACGCUGAGGCGCGAAAGCUAGGGGAGCAAACGGG
rnacentral:rRNA from 1 species